AAUCGUGCAUGCGUAUAAUUGGGAUCGAUAACAAAUACCAACUAAGUUAUUACUAAUAUAUCGAAAUACAUAAAUAUCCCGUCCUUACGUAUCUUUGAAGAUUUCCAUCCUCAGCGAACAAAAAAAAAAAAAAAAAAAAAAAAAAAAAAAUAGCCAAAUGCCUCGUCAUCUAAUUAGUGACGCGCAUGAAUGGCUUAACGACGGACGUGUUUUGGAGUGCUCCGUAAUUAAAGUCAUUUUUCUCCGGUAAUUCGGUGUCGCAGACGCUUAGAGGUUAAGCCCGAUGAACCUGAAUAUCCGUUAUGGAAAAUUCAUCAUUAAAGUUAUAAUAUUUAAACAAUAUUAUACAAAUAAUGUGCAUUUUUUCCAUAUAAGGACAUUGUAAUCUAUUAACAUAUUAAAUUUAUCAUAAAAUAUGGCUUAUAGUUUAUUCAAAUUAUUAUGCUUGCAUUUUAACAUAGAAUAAAUGUCAUUAAUUUGAUAAAGUGUUGAUAGACUAAUAAGAAUACAGUGCGUUAAUUUUUCGGAAUUAUAUAAUGGCAUAAUUAUCAUUGAUUUUUGUGUUUAUUAUAAGCACUUGUAUGAUUAACAAUGCGAAAGAUUCAGGAUACCUUCGGGACCCGUCUUGAAACACGGACCAAGGAGUCUAACAUAUGUGCAAGUUAUUGGGAUAUAAACCUAAUAGCGUAAUUAACUUGACUAAUAAUGGGAUUAGUUUUUUAACUAUUUUAUAGCUAAUUUAUAGCUAACAAUCCCGGGGCGUUCUAUAUAGUUAUGUAUAAUAAUAUUUAUAUUAUUUAUGCCUCUAACUGGAACGUACCUUGAGCAGAUAUGCUGUGACCCGAAAGAUGGUGAACUAUACUUGAUCAGGUUGAAGUCAGGGGAAACCCUGAUGGAAGACCGAAACAGUUCUGACGUGCAAAUCGAUUGUCAGAAUUGAGUAUAGGGGCGAAAGACCAAUCGAACCAUCUAGUAGCUGGUUCCUUCCGAAGUUUCCCUCAGGAUAGCUGGUGCAUUUUAAUGUUAUAUAAAAUAAUCUUAUCUGGUAAAGCGAAUGAUUAGAGGCCUUAGGGUCGAAACGAUCUUAACCUAUUCUCAAACUUUAAAUGGGUAAGAACCUUAACUUUCUUGAUAUGAAGUUUAAGGUUAUGAUAUAUUGUGCCCAGUGGGCCACUUUUGGUAAGCAGAACUGGCGCUGUGGGAUGAACCAAACGUAAUGUUACGGUGCCCAAAUUAACAACUCAUGCAGAAACCAUGAAAGGCGUUGGUUGCUUAAAACAGCAGGACGGUGAUCAUGGAAGUCGAAAUCCGCUAAGGAGUGUGUAACAACUCACCUGCCGAAGCAACUAGCCCUUAAAAUGGAUGGCGCUUAAGUUGUAUACCUAUACAUUACCGCUAAAGUAGAUGAUUUAUAUUACUUGUAAUAUAAAUUUUGAAACUUUAGUGAGUAGGAAGGUACAAUGGUAUGCGUAGAAGUGUUUGGCGUAAGCCUGCAUGGAGCUGCUAUUGGUACAGAUCUUGGUGGUAGUAGCAAAUAAUCGAAUGAGACCUUGGAGGACUGAAGUGGAGAAGGGUUUCGUGUGAACAGUGGUUGAUCACGAGUUAGUCGGUCCUAAGUUCAAGGCGAAAGCCGAAAAUUUUCAAGUAAAAAUAAAAUUUACUAUAUGUAAAAAUUAUAUACUUGAAUAAUUUUGAACGAAAGGGAAUACGGUUCCAAUUCCGUAACCUGUUGAGUAUCCGUUUGUUAUUAAAUAUGGGCCUCGUGCUCAUCCUGGCAACAGGAACGACCAUAAAGAAGCCGUCGAGAGAUAUCGGAAGAGUUUUCUUUUCUGUUUUAUAGUCGUACUACCAUGGAAGUCUUUCGCAGAGAGAUAUGGUAGAUGGGCUAGAAGAGCAUGACAUAUACUGUUGUGUCGAUAUUUUCUCCUCGGACCUUGAAAAUUUAUGGUGGGGAUACGCAAACUUCUCAACAGGCCGUACCAAUAUCCGCAGCUGGUCUCCAAGGUGAAGAGUCUCUAGUCGAUAGAAUAAUGUAGGUAAGGGAAGUCGGCAAAUUAGAUCCGUAACUUCGGGAUAAGGAUUGGCUCUGAAGAUUGAGAUAGUCGGGCUUGAUUGGGAAACAAUAAUAUGGUUUAUGUGCUCGUUCUGGGUAAAUAGAGUUUCGAUCAUUUAUGGUUGUAACUUGUUCCCCGGAUAGUUAGUUACGUAUCCAAUUGUGGAACUUUCUUGCUAAAAUUUUUAAGAAUACUAGUUGGGUCAAACCAAUUAGUUCUUAUUAAUUAUAACGAUUAUCAAUUAACAAUCAAUUCAGAACUGGCACGGACUUGGGGAAUCCGACUGUCUAAUUAAAACAAAGCAUUGUGAUGGCCCUAGCGGGUGUUGACACAAUGUGAUUUCUGCCCAGUGCUCUGAAUGUCAAAGUGAAGAAAUUCAAGUAAGCGCGGGUCAACGGCGGGAGUAACUAUGACUCUCUUAAGGUAGCCAAAUGCCUCGUCAUCUAAUUAGUGACGCGCAUGAAUGGCUUAACGACGGACGUGUUUUGGAGUGCUCCGUAAUUAAAGUCAUUUUUCUCCGGUAAUUCGGUGUCGCAGACGUUUGAAUUUAGUGUCAAAAUUCGCGUAUUAAUUGCGCGAAUCGAUUGGUGUUAUUUUCGCGUCGGAAAAUUAAGUUUUUCAAUUGAAAAACAGUGUUUUCGUUUUUGCACGUGUUGGCACGUGGUGGAAAUUUUCCACAGAUAAAGCUUGGUGAGUCUUCUGGUGUGAGCUUUAGUGCAGAAGUGUGUGUGAGAGUACUCAAGAGAGAGCUUGAGAGAGAGCUUUGAGGGUGCUCUCGCCCGUGCUUUUGCCGAGCUUACGCGAGCUUUUGGGAGUGUGCUUUCUUGUGCAAGCUUUGGUGCGUGCUUUUGCGCGCGCUUCAGUAAACACUUGGAGCAUACUUUUGGGCUGCCUUAUUUUUGCAUAUAUUUUCUGUUGCAUAUUUUUGGGCCCCAUUUUCAGCACAGCUCCACCAGGCGGCGCCACUUGCCCAGAUAAAGGGCAACAUGAGCGCCAUGAGCGCUAUGAGCGCGUUGUCGGAGAGCGAGCUCUCCGCAAGCAGCCGGGCAAGCAGUCGCGCAAGUAGUGCGAUUGGUGCUGCACGGGGACGCCGUCGAGGACGCAAGUCCAAGGCGACGAGCCUCUCGGCGCCAACGCAAGCCAAGUUAUUGGCCGCUACUGGAGUGGACAAACCGGAGCCAGUUGGGGUGUUGGAGGAGUUGGCGCUCUCCUCGUUGGAGACGCCGGUGAUGCCAGAUGCCUCUGCUGCUGAUGCCUCCGCCGCUACCUUUGCUGCCCCCGCUGUUGUUGCUGCUGGAGUUGUUGCUGAUGCUGCUGAGGCAGCCGCCGCUGUCGCCGCUGGUGCCCCCGCUGCCGUCCCGGAGCGAUCUGCCGUCUCGAUGCGCAGUCUUGACUGUGUCAUCAAGAAU
rnacentral:rRNA from 1 species